UACGGAGGGAGCUAGCGUUGUUCGGAUAUACUGGGCGUAAAGCGCACGUAGGCGGCGCAGCAAGUCAGGGGUGAAAUCCCGGAGCUCAACUCCGGAACUGCCCUUGAAACUGCAGUGCUAGAAUCUUGGAGAGGCGAGUGGAAUUCCGAAGUGUAGAGGUGAAAUUCGUAGAUAUUCGGAAGAAACACCAGUGGCGAAGGCGACUCGCUGGACAAGUAUUGACGCUGAGGUGGCGAAAGCGUGGGGAGCAAACAGGG
rnacentral:rRNA from 1 species